rnacentral:sRNA from 1 species
AUAAAUUAAUGAUUUAACCCGUAUUUAAACAGUGGAUUAAUUAUAUUUUAUUUUUUAUUAAUGUUGAUUCAAAAACACGUCCCUCCAAAUCCGUCUUGCCAAAAAGCCAUUUAUUUUAUUAAUAUUAAUUUUAUUUAUAAUAUGACUCUGAAUUAUAAUCUAAACAUUUUAGCUAAUAACAUAGGAGUGCACCAUAUUUAUUUAAUAGGGGAAUGUACCACAUGACCCGAAUGCACUUUUACCCAAAUCCACCAAAAAAGUCUUGCAAAACUACUAUAGACCCGAAUGUACCACAUUUUUUUGUGCUAAUUUUUAUGUGAUUAAGAUUUAAUUGAUUUUGUAUAUAAAAUAUUAAAUUGUUUUACGAACUUAUUUGUUUAUAAUUUGGUAACAGAUAGAUAUUUGAAUAUUCAGUAUAUUUUGCUUCAGUUUAGGAAAUCUUUGAUGACUUGUCUUUAGAUCCAAUAAGCCUUGUAAUCUAGAUAUUAACCUGCAGUAUACCGCAGGUAGGCUUAUAUUUUAGUUCAACUAAAAACUUUUAUUGUAAAGAUGAUUUAAAAAUAUAUGAUAUUAUUUUAUUUGAUUUUGAAUGUAUAGUAAACUGUGAGUUGUAUAUGUUUUGUUGAUAUUAUCUAUAUUGUUUAGUGUUUAAGAUUAUACACUUGUAGUUUGAUUGUUAAUUUAAGAGUUUCACCUGUAGUAUACCAUCUUGUAUUAAUAUCGAUCUAAACCCGUCAAUUCUAGGAUUUUCCAGCUUGUAUUAAAAAUUGAAUCACAUCUAAUAUGUUAUUAAUUAUUGUAGUAUAUAAGAUUAUAAAUUUUCAAUAUAAUAUGUAUGAAAUUGAAUAUAAAUAUUUCAAAUUAUGACCUGUUACUCAGUAGAAAGUUUUCUUAAAUCUAUUUUUCACCCGUUAUAAUAUUUUUUCAUGUAUUGAACAGUUUAUAUUCGUUUUUAAAAAUUCAAAUUAUGGCAUAUGCGAAAAAACUCUAAUUAUUUUUCUAUAAUGAUGAUAUUAUUUUUCGGCAAAAAUAGAAUCAUAAAAAGAUGAGAAGUGAACUAUAAUAAUUAAUAAAAAAUUAAUAUGAUAAUUUAGAUAUCAAAUCUAAUUUGUUGAUUUUAAUUGGUUACUUUUUUGGGAAUUAAUAAUGUAUUUCAUUUUUCUAAUUAAAUUAAAUUAAUUAAAAUUUAGAUAUCAAAUCUUAUAUGUUGAUUUUGAUUGGUUAUUAUUUUUGGAAAUUAAUAAUGUAUUUCGUUUUUUAAUUAAAUUUAAUUAAUUAAAUUAGUAUUUGACUUUUUAAUCCUUAAAGAGAUAAAUUAAUUUACUCUUUAAAAUUUUAUUUCUAAUGGCAUACCUAUGUAAUUACUUAA